UAAAACCAAAUGGAGGUAGAUCAUUGUUAAUGAUUUAAUUUUAAUUUAAAGGUUUUAUAG
rnacentral:tRNA from 1 species